GGAUGCUGCGUGGGAGCUCGGAAGAUGUGCACGAAAAAGACGAGGGAGAUUCGACCAUCCGAGGGUCAAGACACAGAAAUUCGAACUGGCCCAGAGCGACCUUACUUGGCGCAGAGAAUCAUUUACCGAACGAGCGAGGGUGUGCGGAUACGGGAGCUAUUCUUAAAAGACAGAGUGAUGAACAGCUGCACCUGAAGUCGAAAAACGAUCCAAAUUUGAUUCCUUUCUGUGGACUUGUUCGAAUUGAAAGACCGAUUGUAAGCAAAAAACAACUUGAAUUUGCUGACGGAGGUCCUGUUAAAAGAGGCCAACAGUACGAGACACAUGGCGAUUAAAUCGCUACGUGAUGCGACUAUUAUAUUUUUCGGAGAUGUUCUAAAGAAUUUUCCUAUUACUUUUUUAAGGUGUGGAAUUUAGCUAAACAACUACUACAGCUAACAUUCUAAGAUAACGCGGUUACUUUCCUAAUAUAAAAAUUCAUAGGUUCCGAUUGUGUAACAUAAACAACAGAACAAAAUCAGGCUAGACAACUAAGUCCCCUUAUGUAAAUGCCUAAUUCCAUCAUUCAAACAACGUUGGUUUGUAUAGUAAAUCUAAAUCUCAAGGCCAAGCUUAACUGCCCUUUCGUGAAAAAUAUCUCAAUUUUCCUGAAGCCUCAAAGAAGACAUACUGCAAUGGCAGUAUUUUGUUCUUUAGAGGGAAUAAAUUGCCCUUCUCAGCCACCUCAGUUGCUCAGGAAUGAGAUGUGCUAAGCAUUCGUAUGAGGAGAUUUUGGAAGAUGGUGCAGGUGUGGGCUGACUUAAAUUACUUGCUUUUGUGCUUUUCUAAAAGGUCAAAAAGGAUCUGGUUUAGGGAAGGCAGAGAGAAUAAGACUUUUCAACAUGAGUUAAAAUGCCCAUGUGCCCAGCUUCAGAUGCAGGAAAUAAUACAAACCUGAUAAAGCAUUUAGCUGAUGCAUCCUGAAAAAUGAUAUACCUAUCAGCAUGCAUGUCAUCAAUCAAAAAUUAUUUAAUAUUUGCAUUCAAUUAACCAAAUGACUCCACCAGUUUGACAUUUUCACAAAUCAGCAAUUAGUAAAAUGAUUGGUAAAAUCUUCCACACCCUGUCACUCAUUUAAUGGUAAAUUAUCGAGCAGUAUUUUAACUUGUAAGAAUAUUUAGUAGUUUGAGAAUUUGUGAUGUUGUGGAGUGUAAGAAUUUACACAUUUUCUAAACUAUAGAAAAUACUAACAGAAUUACUUGAAGUUGUUUGUUUUUUUUAAAUCAUUUUGGAACAAAGACUAAAUGGAG
ensembl:lncRNA